rnacentral:lncRNA from 1 species
AUCUGACACCCAAAAUUUAGGAAGGAAAGGUUUAUUUCGCUUACAGUUUGUGGAGGUUUCAGUCCAUACUUGGCAGGUUACAAGGCAGAGUGGCACAUGGCAGAGGGCUACAGCUCCUGGCGCAGAACACAGCAAAGCAACAAACACACACCAGGGCAGAAAUGGCCAGAAGCACCCUCUUCCUCUCCCUUACAUAUGCAAACUAUCCACCCCAGGGCGGCUGCAGCUCUGACACCCAUAAUCAAACUCUAAAAGCCUGCCCCAUGGCUGCAUGAGGCUUUUGGGGGACACCCAGACACAAACCAUAACAACCACAAUAUCCUGGACCACAAGAGGCACUGUCUUCUCCAUUGCAGAAGGACGGGGAGGAAGAGGGUCUCACCAGGGCUUCAUCCUUGCCUCCUUAAGGAUAUCCCUUCUCCUACCCUGCCCCUGUCAGCUCUUUGAUGGAGGAGAGAGCAAAAGGCCCACUGGAGAGCUGGCUUCUGAACAACAUGGAGCCUCCGUCACCAUCCGCCUGGUAUCUUCUUUCAAGACUCCCCUGUGCCGUGGGGACUGAAUCUGUCCGUAGUCACAUCAUCUUUACGAUCAUAAUCCUCAGGUCACAUUUCAAAUAUAUGUUUGCAGCUUACUUUCUAAGAACCAAAGUGAUUUUGCAAACUAAUUUCACUCUCAAGAGAGAUGGAGUCAGUUGUCUGCUCACUGUCUCGGAAUAAUCUGAAGGAAUGCACUGAAUCCACUUUCAUGGACCCCUAUCUGAGGUACAGUGUGUGGGGACUUGCUGACCAGAGCCUUUGUUCUUAUUUUAUUUAUUUACUCAGCACUGCUGGGGGUUGACUCCGAGGCCUCCCACACGGUAAGCAAGUGCAAUCCCCCUGCCCCAACCAGGGCCUUGCAAAAGUGCUCCAAUCUGAAGCACAGCCUUUGCCCACCUCCCAGAUGUACCUCGGCCCUUCCCAGCCAAAGCAGCCUCUGCACAUCUAGCUCUGGACUCUGAUUACUCAGGCAGAGAAGGAGGCAAGGAGAGGCCCUGUGUGGAGGUCUCAGGGCCACAAGCAAUUCUACGGCUUGCGUUCUUCAGGGCCUUGAACAGACUCUUUUCCCUUCCCCGUCAGCCCACCAGUUGCCUUUAUCCUCAGGACCCCGCAGUCAGGCUGUCGGGCUUUGGACAAAACCCAGUUGUGUACGGUUUUAUGACACUAAUCCAAAUAUAUGUUUAUGUAAGAACACAGUUGUGCAACCUGUGUGCCCCCAAGCCUCCCUGGACAAUUGUGGUCGUCUAAAAAUAGUCCGAUGGGCCUUUGCUUCGCGCUGGCGUGUGGGUCUGCAGGGCUCACUGGGCCCGGC